rnacentral:rRNA from 1 species
ACUCCUACGGGAGGCAGCAGUGGGGAAUAUUGCACAAUGGGGGAAACCCUGAUGCAGCCAUGCCGCGUGUGUGAAGAAGGCCUUCGGGUUGUAAAGCACUUUCAGCGAGGAGGAAAGGGUGUGUGCUAAUACCAUACAUCUGUGACGUUACUCGCAGAAGAAGCACCGGCUAACUCCGUGCCAGCAGCCGCGGUAAUACGGAGGGUGCGAGCGUUAAUCGGAAUUACUGGGCGUAAAGCGUGCGCAGGCGGUUUGUUAAGCGAGAUGUGAAAGCCCCGGGCUCAACCUGGGAAUUGCAUUUCGAACUGGCAAGCUAGAGUGUGAUAGAGGGUGGUAGAAUUUCAGGUGUAGCGGUGAAAUGCGUAGAGAUCUGAAGGAAUACCGAUGGCGAAGGCAGCCACCUGGGUCAACACUGACGCUCAUGUACGAAAGCGUGGGGAGCAAACGGGAUUAGAUACCCUGGUAGGCGUAGU